AUCCUCCUCACCCAGCUGAGUCUCUGCUCCUGCCGCAACUGAACACUGCCCCGCAGGAAAAAGAAGCUUUUUUUUUUUUUUUUCAGCACCACUGUAUAUCCCACCAUGCAAUGGGCAACAAGUGUGACCAGGGUCACCAUGCAACCUGCCGGUGGGCCACUCUUCAGGACUGACCCUCCAUCUGCAUCGCAAACUCUCCCCAGGUGUUCCGAUCCCAGACACCCCAGCAGAUGCAAAAACCCCAGGCACCAGCGGGAGAGGGGAAGAAGCGUCCAGGAGAGGCUCCAGGGAAGGGUUCGCUUACAAAUCCAGAUUACGACCCAACACUCUGGACGGGAAAUGGAGAUGGGACGCGUCCGCGGCGGCCAGGGGACCCGCGCAGCCACGCCUGGGCUGCAGGGUGGGGGACCCCCGGUCUCACCUCCUGCUGUGUAGCUGGGUCUCUCCCGCCAGGUGCUGGGAAGCAUAGGGCAUGCAGCAUUCAAAAUGCUUUUUGGGAAAAGAGGGACUUGAAGCCUUUUUUUUUUUUUCUUUUUGCUUUUUUUUUUUUUUCUUUUUUCUCUUUCUUUCUUUCUUUUUUUUUUUUUUUUUUAACCAACACGCCAUUGUACUCACUUAUUCCAAGACGGGCUGCGCGCUCCGAGCUGCACGGGCAGGCAUUUUCCCCGGCUUUGUUUUACAAGGGGUGCAGGACUUGGGCCUGCAGCUCUGACCAGCCGAUCGCCCUGAACCGGACCGAAAGGAUGGAGAUGCAGCCCUCGCGGUGCUGGAUCGAAGAAGUCCAGGGAUGGAGAGGAGCGCAGAAACCCGGCCAGCGGGAGUCCUGGCUGACCUCCACCCUCCCACCCCACGGCUGUGGACCAGCGUUUAGCUCCCAGCCCCGCAGCCUGGCUGGAGUAUUUCCCCCUGGCUGCAGCUCUUCCUAAGGAAAGCCAUCGACGUGACUGUAGAAAGGUCCGCGCCACACCGAUCCCACCACUAACAAUACACAUCCAGUGCCUCUUUCCCCUUAAAAAAAAAAAAAGACCAAUAUAAAUCCUGCUCGAAUUUAAACGUUUUGCUUCGCUUC